GAUGAACGCUGGCGGCGUGCCUAAUACAUGCAAGUCGAGCGACCACACGGUGAGCUUGUUCCUCUACCGUUAGCGGCUGACGGGUGAGUAACACGUGCAUAACCUUCCUCUAAUUCUUGGAUGACUUCGUGAAACCAGAUCUACUACUGGCUCACAUGUCGUACCGCUUAAAUCAAGAGUUAUACACGGUCUUCUUGUCAGUUAUAGAUGGAUCCGCGCCGGAUUAGCUAGUUGGUAAGGUAACGGCCUACCAAGGCGACGAUGCGUAGCUGACCUGAGAGGGUGAUCAGCCACACUGGAACUGAGACACGGUCCAGACUCCUACGGGAGGCAGCAGUAGGGAAUAUUGCGCAAUGGGCGAAAGCCUGACGGAGCAACGCCGCGUGAGUGAAGAAGGUCUUCGGGUCGUAAAACCCUUUUAUUAGGAAAGAAAAGAUGUAGAUGAAUCUACGCAUGUCUUGACGGUACCUAAACAGAAAGCCACGGCUAACUACGUG
rnacentral:rRNA from 1 species